rnacentral:rRNA from 1 species
AAUCAACGCUGGCGGCGUGCCUAACACAUGCAAGUCGAACGGGAAAACAGGGGCAACUCUGUGAGUACAGUGGCGUACGGGUGAGUAACACGUGACUAACCUGCCCUUCGGUGGGGGAUAACCUCGGGAAACCGGGGCUAAUACCGCAUAACAUCUCCGGGAUGAGAAGCCGGAGAUCAAAGGAGCAAUUCGCGGAAGGAGGGGGUCGCGGCUGAUUAGCUAGUUGGCGGGGUAACGGCCCACCAAGGCGAUGAUCGGUAGCCGGCCUGAGAGGGCGCACGGCCACACUGGAAAUGAAACACGGUCCAGACUCCUACGGGAGGCAGCAGUGGGGAAUUUUGCGCAAUGGGGGAAACCCUGACGCAGCAACGCCGCGUGGAGGAUGAAGUCCCUUGGGACGUAAACUCCUUUCGACCGGGACGAUAAUGACGGUACCGGUGGAAGAAGCCCCGGCUAACUUCGUGCCAGCCGCCGCGGUAACAC